rnacentral:rRNA from 1 species
AUUGAACGCUGGCGGCAGGCCUAACACAUGCAAGUCGAACGAGUGGCGGACGGGUGAGUAAUGUCUGGGCAACUGACUGAUGGAGGGGGAUAACUACUGGAAACGGUAGCUAAUACCGCAUACCAUCGGAUGUGCCCAGAUGGGAUUGGCUAGUAGGUGGGGUAAAGGAUCACAUAGGCGACGAUCCCUAGCUGGUCUGAGAGGAUGACCAGCCACAUUGGAACUGAGACACGGCCCAUAAGCCGACGGGAGGCAGCAGUGGGGAAUAUUGCACAAUGGGCGAAAGCCUGAUGCAGCAAUGCCGCGUGUGUGAAGAAGGUCUUCGGGUUGUAAAGCACUUUCAGCGGGGAGGCGUUACCCGCAGAAGAAGCACCGGCUAACUCCGUGCCAGCAGCCGCGGUAAUAC